rnacentral:lncRNA from 1 species
GGCGUCGUAAACAGCGCAACUAACCGCCGAUCUUGAUACCACAACAGUUGAAAAAACGGUGUUUUAAACAUCACUCGCCUUUUAGAACAUGUAAGCUCUUGUCUGACGACGUUUAAACGGAAAGAGUGCGGUAAAAGCGUCUGGAAAACGUUGAAUUGGAGACCACGUGUGACACUCAAUCAAAUGUCAAAGUGUCCUCAAUUAGCAGCACCAUGCUAAAGUUACACGACACCUGAAUAAAGUUUAUGUACUAGUGAAUACUUAGUAAUUUGACCCACAGCUUUUGUGGCCACUCAGAAAUUUGGAUUCUUGAAUUCAGAAGUUCUUCUAUAUCUGAUAUAAGGUAAGAGAGGUGCUCUUCAUCUUGUCCUUGCUGUAUUUGGGCUGGCUGUUUGAACUUGUACCUGCAUUUUGAAACAAUUCAGAGUCUUCCUGUAGUGUUUUGUUGGACUGCCCCUCCUUGUCGAAGCCACUGUCCAUCUCAUGGCAACUUUUUGUAUCAUUUGCAAGUUAGAGCAAAAGGGGAGAGAAGGAAAGUUGUUUCCAAAGCAAGAAUGUCUUACUGCGCAGAACAAAUCUUGGACUGUGUUCAUGAGAUGGGUGAGUACUAGUGUUGACCUGGGGUGCUAAGACGUGGUCCACCAGAAAACAAAGAGAAGAGUGCGAAAACUCUUUCGGAAACUGGACUGUCUUGCUGCGCACUGAUCGGAUCUUAAACUGUGUACAAGAGGUGGGUGACUAAUAAAUGAUCAGCAGUGGUAUUGGCUUCACUCAUUAAGUCUCUUCCUCAGUUUUGAUCUAAGACGCUAAGACUUGGUCCAUCAAAAAAAACAAAGGAGAAGAGUGUGAAAACUGUUUUGGAAACUGGGCUGUCUUGCUACCCUGAACGGAUCUUAAACUGUGUACAAGAGAUGGGUGACAAAACAGUUGACCAGCGAUUGAGUCAGCUUCGCCCACAAAGUCUCUUUCUCAGUCUUGAUCUGGGAGCUAAGACUUGGUCCCCAAUAGAUAAAGAGAUGUGUGUGAAAACGGUUUCGGAAACGGACUGUCUUGCUGCGCUGAACGGAUCUUGAACUGUGUACAAGAGAUAGGUGACUAAUAGCUGACCUGUAAUGGAGUCUGCUUCACCCACAAAGCCUCUUCCUCAGUCUUGAUCUGGGAUGCUAAGACUUGGUCCACCAAAAAAAACAAAGAGAAGAGUUUGAAAACGGUUUCGGAAACUGGACUGUCUUGCUGCGCUGAAUGGAUCUUGAACUGUGCACAAAUAGUUGACCACCAAUGGCAUCGGCUUCACCUAUAAAGUCUCUUCCUCAGUCUUGAUCUGGGAUGCUAAGACUGAGUCCACCAAAAAGCAAACAGAUAAGUGUGAAAACCGGUUUGCCGGUUUGAAAACUUGACUGUCUUGUUGCACUGAAGUAUCUUGAACAGUGUACGAGAGGUGGGUGACUAAUAGCUGACCCAUAAUAGAGUGAGAACUAGUGGAUUUAAAUUUAGAAUUUCGAUAUCGUCAAGUGUUAAACAGACCUGUGAAAGCGAGAAAGGUAGUGUUACUGGUUUUUAUCGCAAC